rnacentral:lncRNA from 1 species
AAGGCCAUUAUCUGUUUUACUUAUAUUAAUAUGACUUUCGAUGGUUUAAGAAGAAAUUUGGACUUUUUUUGUAUUCUUUACAUUUUAAUUUUUCAUUUUAGUAUAAAAUAUAAUAAAGCUUUUAAAUAUAUAUAACACAAAAGUCAAACUAAAAAAGUUGAUCAAAAAGGCAAAAAAAGUUAUCUUCGAAAAAGUGUUUAGAGAUCAUGUACAACUUGUUUCCAAAGUUUUUCAUAUUGCUUAUGGCAUGGAAGCACGUCAAAACUUAUUGUGGAUAAUAUUCUAAUCAAAAGAGUUUAUGUUUAAAUGUUUAAAUAAAUUUUUGUUAUAA